AGAGAAAGCAAUCUUUGAUGCCAAACUUUCCGAAAAAUAAAAAAAAGUCAAUUGAAUUCUGAAUUCUAAUAUCCUUUUGGUCUUCAUUUUAUUAUGCCAUUUUGUAUAAAAGUUAUUAUAUUUGAAAUCCCAUGUUAUUAUACACAGUUAAUAUUUUUAACAUAAAACUCAAUAUUCUAAUUUAAAUUUUUAAAAUAACAGAAAAACUAAUUUCUGUCUGAGCUCGAGACCAAAUCCGUACAAUAAUGUUUCUAUAUUUUCGGUUAUUAAAAAAUAACAUAAACAGUAACAUAAAUAUAAAAAAUAAAAAACAUUUUCGUAACAAUAUUUAACUACCUAUCAGUAUCUUAUUACAAUUUUUAAAUCGUAUAUCUUUUAGUGACAUCUUCCAUGCAACACAUUCCUCAAAGAAUCCACCAACUUCAAGAAGGGAUUUCAAUUCGUCCUAUCAUCGUAUGUAUAAGAAAUGUUUGGGACAUCAAAAAACACCAAACCGAUAGUACUCGAACUUCCAUCGGCUUCAUGUGCUACGACCACAACGUAAGCCUUUUCUAAACUUCUAUAUAUAUAUAUAUAUAUAUACAAAUAUCUAUAUAUUUCCCAAUCCACCAUAUUUGAUUAAAACUACUCACUGCUUCCUUAAUUGGUUCGGCCCUACAAAAUAUUUUUCACACCCAGGGACAACUAUUAGAAGGUCGGGUCACCGGAGACAUUCAGCCGAAUGAUUCAAAAAACUUAACUGAAGGAGAUAGUUAUGAGUUUUCGAGAUUUUAUGUCAUACAUAAUUCCCGACAACGGAAGCUCACCCAACUGCCGUACUAUAUUCAGAUCGGCCAAAGGACAACAGCAUUGAAUGUUACACUUGAUGGUCCGAUGUUCCCAGUUCACAGUUUGUCACCUCAGAGAUACACAAAUCUAUUGCGGUUAGCCAGUACACCCACAUACUUACCAGACGUCGUGGGACAGAUAGUCAUAAUACAAAAAAUAAAACUUAACCACCCAGAACUCAAUAUUGAUGCUACGAUUGGCCUACGACUGAACAGGUCAACGAUUGUUAAACUCAUAUUGUGCGACCAGCAAGCAGCAGAUUUUAGCAUCCUACAAAGCAAGAAGAAUAGAAAAUUUAAAGUUAUGAUCAUCACAAGCGUAAUUCCUAAACUAAUCCAAGGCAAACUUAUACUCCAUUCAUCACCAGCAACAGUUUUCUACUUCAACAAAUCAAUUGAUUACAUAAAGCAUUUCAAAAGGCGAAUUAGAGAUUAUGCAAAAACAUGCAGCACAGAGUGAUCUUCCUUCAUUCAUAAUCCGGAUUAUUAUUCUCUCUCUCAAAGAACUUGAUACCUAGAUUUGUUUUCAUUAAACUUUAUUUUAUGAUUGCUUUCCUUUAUUUUCGUGAACUUAUCCAAGAUGAGAUUUUGAUCUUUUUAAAUAAAAUAAUCUAAAUUCUAAAACUAAAACAAAUAUUUUUUACAAUAAUUAGUUAAUUUAUGCUAAAGAUGAUAAAUAAACCAAAAUUAAAUACAUAUCCGUGCUCAGCCAUGCAAGUUAGUGAGCAGUAAGGCAUGAUCAGAGUGAAUAAGAAGUCCACUAUAAAUAUGUGGUCGUUUGGAGAUAAAAUUGUGGAAUAAAUAUGUCGACGUGGACAGGCUAAAAACACUCUAUUUGUUACUUUUAGUAUAGAGUAGAUUUAUAAUUAUAUUUUUAAAUACAACAUAAAUUCAGGACUUACAGCAAUACACAAACAAAUAUAGAUAAACACAUUAAAUUCAGGGGGAAAAAAAUCUUCAUAAAACUUAAAUUUCCCAUUAUUAUACAAAUAUGGGAAAGCUUUUUUUUUUUUUUUGGUAUGAAAGCUUCAAAGAGAGAAAAUAUAACUGUACUAUUUUUUAUUCCAGUCUCUACUUUUUACAAAAAUCAUCUUCCUCCCAUAUUAAGCAGUUACAAAAGCAUUAUAUAAUUAAGAUUUGGUAAAGAUAUUAUACUAAAAACUUUUCUUAGUUCACAAAUAGAAUUCACUCACCCUGACCUGGCCACGAUUUCCUCAGUCAGGCGAGUGCACAUAGAUCAAGUCAACAAAAACAAACAAGUCAAAAAUAUUAACAUCCAUCCAUAAAUGCUAUUAUAGGUUUUAAAGACCUCUAAUUUAUGUAAUAUUACAAAACUCCAAAUUCUUUUAAUACAAUUAAAGUUUGACCAUUACAUAUAUUAAAAUAAUAUUCUAGCACGAUAUUCAACUGUAACUUUUCAACUAUUACACGUUAAAAAAUAUUAUUAAGUAUGCUUCGUUUUUUGAAAAUGGGGUGUUUAUAUUUUAAAUAGGUUAUUGGAGUACUUUUUCUUUUGCUGAACUUAUUCGAGAUAAGAAGCUAUUUAAAUUAAACUUUGUUGUUUUCAAUAUCUAAAAUAAAAUAGAAUUAUCAUAAACUAAUUAAUUCUUAGUUAUAAUCCAAUUCCUCAUCUUUACUCAUUUGAGUUCAUUUUUUAAAAUUUGUUUUGUAAAAAAACAAUUCAAGUUCUGAGUAUAUGAAAAUUUUAGAUUCUUAAUGAUCUAAAUUUUGGUUAGGAUCAAUACUGAGUUUCUAUUCUUAUUUGUAUGUUUAUAAAUUGUAUUAGCCUUUGCUUUUCAUUAUAUGAUUAUUCAAAAAUUUAUAUGGGUUUAUUUAUAUAUAAUCUAUUAAAAAAGAAGUCAUGAUACCUUUAUGUCUGAUUUUUUUUAUUUGAAAGAUUCUGAAAUUAUGUAUGGAAUUUUACAUAAGUUAGUUAUAACAUAUUUAUUUUUGUUUAACAUAUUAAUAAAUAUCCUACGAACAAUGUUCAACCACAUCUUUCAAAUAUGUUUUUAAAUGUUAUCAAGUUGUAUUUUCGAAAUUUUUUUUACAACUGUCCAAGUUGAAACAUCUUUCUUUAAUAAUUAUAAUUCAUAACCCAUAACUUCCUAAGACCAGGAAAAGUUUUAUAAUAUGUAACUUAUUUUCUAUUCAACCUAUAUUAAUGUUAUAUUAAAAAACUUACAUACUUUCAACUAUUUAACCCCAUGCAUCAUGUAUCUAUUUUACAACUCAUCCAAAAAUCUAGACAACUCCACUAAAAUCUAAACAUGAGUCUAAUUUCUUGGAUUGUACGCCACAAAACUUCACAAAGUCUGACAUCUCCAAAAAGAAGCAUCACCAUGAAUAUAAAGAGACGAAAUACACAACAAACGAAGAUCGUGAUCUCUAUUGACAUGAAGACAACAAGUAGUGGUUAUCUAACACACGAAACAGCAAGCAAUAUGGAGUUUAUGCUUGGUUACCACGAGAUCGAUUUUGACACGAUUACUGAGAUAAUCGAGGAGGCUUCCGCCGUUGCCGCACGCAAUAUCCCAACACUCAAUAAUCCCACCAAUAUUGAUUUUGAUAUAAUUGUUAAAAUAAAUGAUCUUAAUCCAGACGCUAUCCGCAGAAUUGACCUGGAUGUUUAUCUCAUCGAGCUACGGGAUAAUCGAAGGGAUACAAUUCCUAGCGAAAGAAAUGACAUAUGUCCAAUCUGUUGGGAAGAGUUUGGCACCGAACUGGAUAUCAACUCCUUGAGUUGUUAUCAUACCUAUCAUCAUCACUGCAUCUCGAACUGGGUUGAAAAAACUUUAACUUGCCCAUAUUGUAGAGCAGUACUUGCUUAAUACACAAUAAAUCCAUUAUCUUAUCUAAUAAUUGUUUCCCCUGUUUUAAAUUUUUAAUUGAAAAAGAAAUAAUAAUAAUUAUAAUUGAAUUGCAUCCGUAAAGAAUUAUUAUUAUUAUUAUGUAUAAAUAAAGACGUGUCGGGUUUUAAUUAGGAAAGUGGGUUUUAAAGUGAUACUAUGAUUCAUAUUUAUAGAAAAUUAAGACAGCCCCAUAUAUAUUAUUUUAUUUCGAAAUCUUUUUUAAAAAACAUGCUGUUAAUAUCUCUAUUAUAGCUGGAAAGAUUAACAUCCCAAAUCAAAUUAUUACUAAUACUACAAAUACAACAGUUAUUAUAAACCAAAGAUAGUAUUUAAAAUAUACUAACAUCACCAAAACAGUAUUACGUUAUUAUAAAGAUCAAAUCAACCUUCACAAAUAAGUCAAAAAAAUUAACAUCCAUCUAUAAAUGCUCAUUAAAACCAACAUUAAAAGAAUUAUAUGCUCACUAAAUUAA